rnacentral:rRNA from 1 species
AACGAACGUUGGCGGCAUGGAUUAGGCAUGCAAGUCGGGGGAAUCCCAGCAAUGGGGGAACCGGCGUAAGGGGCAGUAAGGCAUGGGUACCUACCUUGGGGUUCGGGAUAGCCAUCAGAGAUGGUGGGUAAUACCGGAUGACGUCGUGAGACCAAAGAUUUAUCGCCCUUAGAGGGGCCCAUGUGAUAUUAGCUAGUUGGUGGGGUAACGGCCCACCAAGGCGAAGAUGUCUAGCGGGUGUGAGAGCACGACCCGCGCCACUCGCACUGAGACACUGGCGAGACACCUACGGGUGGCUGCAGGGGAGGAUCUUCGGCAAUGAGCGCAAGCUUGACCGAGCGAUGCCGCGUGAGCGAUGAAGGCCUUCGGGUUGUAAAGCUCUUUAGUGGGGGAGAAAAGCCGCAAGGUGUGAUCUAUCCCAAAAAUAAGCACGGGCUAAGUUCGUGCCAGCCGCCGCCGUAA